CAGUUCUGCCCUUUAGUGUUCGCUGCAAUAUAACUUCAACCGACAUUUUCCUUCUGAGUUGAUCCAUUCUCAGAUCUCAGCCCUAAUUAUCAAAUCUCCAAAACUCAUUUACAGUUCUCCUUCGCAAAUCUCACCGGCGAUUAUUAUUUCCUCUUUAUCUUUGAUCUACUCCAUUGCAAAUCCAAUCUCUGAACCCUAACCAACAUUCAUCUCUCUUUGUAAAUCUCAUUGUGAAUCUCCCUUUCAAUCUUCCUCCAAAGAUCUCGUAAUCUUUCGAUUUUACAUCAAGAUUUCAAUAGCUGUCUACAGAGAGAUGAAAAGAGGGCGGAAGAGAGAGAAAGAAUUCGACCUUCUGCGGCUCGAUGUUCAACCUUCGUUGUUGGCUUUGCGGUAUGGAUUCGAGCCUUAAUCUCUAUUUGUUCUUGGAAGUUUGUUUGGUUUAUGAUGUUUGGGUGAUUUGAUUGAUUUUAGGGUUGAUUAUUCUUCGUUUGAUUUGAUGUAAUUUUGGGUGGUUUUAUUGACUGGAAGACCGAUUCGGGUCAUUUUUUGGUUAAUUUUGUUUUUUGUUUUUGUUUUUUUCAUGUUAUUUAGGUCGAUUUUGUUAAUUUUUCUGGCCAAAUUGGUUUGAGUUUUUGGAAUUUACUCGAUUUCAUUUGUUUUUGGAAUUUUUCUGGCCAAAUUGGUUUGAGUUUUUGGAAUUUACUCGGAUUCCUGGACCUGCCUAAGGGAGAUGAUCAGACCACUGAUCAUGAAGCGGAUGAGAAUGAAGCUGCUUCAUGGUUGCUACUUUAACCCAGUGCAGGUAAUCAGUUCUGUGAGCCGUCGUAUAAUCAGCAGCAGGAAUUCAGUGUCCCUGAGAAGAACUUUGGAGAUGACAGUGUCGUACCAGUUAAGUCUAGGGAACCAAAAGAUCACCAAAUACAGUACCAGAACUCUUCAGUUAUUCAAAGGGGGCACUGGUUUGGGAACUGGCCGGGAUAAAUUGGAAGAAAGGGCCGGUAUUUUAUCAUCUUAGCAUUGGAGGAAGACGGAUUAGGUGAAGUUGUUCCUUCUCCUUCUGGCUCAAGAAGGUGAACUCACAAUAGGAACCAUUGAUGAUAUUCAGAAGCUUCAUAUUCGAUCUAUUCCUCUGGGAGAACAUGCUCGGCGUAUCUGCCACCAGGAACAAACUCGCACUUUUGCCAUUUGUAGUUUGAAGUACAACCAAGCUAGUGCAGAGGAAUCUGAAAUGCAUUUUGUACGCUUGUUGGAUGACCAAACCUUUGAGAUCAUAUCUACUUAUGCACUUGAUACUUAUGAAUGUGGUUGCUCCAUACUGAGUUGCUCAUUCUCAGAUGACAUCAAAGUUUACUACUGUGUUGGAACAACAUAUGUUUUACCUGAGGAAAAUGAGCCAACCAAGGGAAGAAUUCUGGUUUUUGUUGUUGAAGACGGAAAGCUGCAACUCAUUGCUGAGAAAGAAACUAAAGGUGCAGUGUUACUCACUUAAUGCCUUCAACGGCAAGCUGCUUGCUGCCAUCAAUCAGAAAAUUCAGCUUUAUAAGUGGAUGCUUCGGGAUGAUGGAACUCACGAGUUACAGUUUGAAUGUGGACACCAUGGGCACAUUCUUGCCAGUUGUAUGUCCAGACUCGUGGUGAUUUCAUUGUUGUUGGGGAUCUGAUGAAAUCAAUUUCUCUACUAAUAUACAAGGCUUUGAUGUACAAGAGCUAUCUGAAGAUGCUCCAGAUGAUCAGGAGGGACUGGAUGCUACAGUAACGCAUGUGGUAAAUUUGCUGUCUACUGAGCCCACUGACAGCAUCCAAGACCCAUCUGUGUGACUGGAGAUCUUAUUAAUCAACCUGGCGAAUCGACGGGAAUAUUGCUACUGCUGAAUUCUUGCUGAGAUUAAUCGAUACAAAGUUUAAUCAUCUUUUAGGGGUGUUUAGUGGUGGCAGAUUAACAUGCUAGCUGUUUGGACUUGUAUAGACCAUCCUCGCAUGCAAUAUUCUGGAUUAGAAGUUGAGAAACAUGCCUCUCUAGUCUCUUAGUUAGGUUGAUUGACCUGAAUGGCGGUGGGUCAAAUGUUGUCCGAGAAAACAAAUGACAUUUUGAUACAAUCGCCAUCUCUUGGUAUAGAUGUAGAUUCCUUUUAUUUGCAGGGUUUGAGAAGGUACAUCUGUAUUACUUAUUUAUGUAUUUAUGGAUAUUAUUUAUGGAUUUUAUUUAUGGAUGUUAGACCAUAAUUAUGGAGGCUA